rnacentral:rRNA from 1 species
AACGAACGCUGGCGGCAUGCCUAACACAUGCAAGUCGAACGAGACCUUCGGGUCUAGUGGCGCACGGGUGCGUAACGCCUGGGAACCUGCACUUAGGUUAGGAAUAACUGCCCGAAAGGGGUGCUAAUACCGGUUAAUGUCUUCGGACCAAAGAUUUAUCGCGUUUGGAUGGGCGCGCGUUGGAUUAGCUAGUUGGUAGGGUAAAAGCCUACCAAGGCGACGAUCCAUAGCUGGUCUGAGAGGAUGAUAAGCUACACUGGGACUGAGACACGGCCCAGACUCCUACGGGAGGGAGCAGUAGGGAAUAUUGGACAAUGGGCGAAAGCCUGAUCAAGCAAUGCCGCGUGAGUGAGGAAGGCGGUAGGGUUGUAAAGCUCUUUUACCCGGGAUGAUAAUGACAGUACCGGGAGAAGAAGCUCCGGCUAACUCCGUG